GGAGGACAAUACCUGUGCUGUGAAGGCAUCAAUAGAAACCUAACCAGUUUCCAAGAUGAAAAGAUGAUAGAAGAUGUCACAUCUUCAACUGAAGGCACUCCAACAGCAGACAAACCUGCGAAGAUUGACAAAGCCGUGCAGACAGACAGUGAUGAAAAAUUCACUUUGAAGACAAAAAACCAGAGACCACUUUCAAUAAACCAUAACAUGCAACCCAACCAGAUGGAAAUCUAUGGGGAACAUGCGAUACCUUACAGUCAUGUUGGAGUCAUUUAUAUCGGCAGUUCUUCUGAUGAGGACGACGAUGACAUGAAGGAAGAUGGCGCUGAUGUGGACCGGACCUCCCCCCCAGAAUGACAUGUUAUUUUCGUUACUUUUCAAGCCACAUAUAAGCUCUUUAUAAAAGUAAUAGCAAUCAUUAAUUGUAAUCAAUAUAUGUAACCAACGUAGUUCGACACGUGUGCAUCACAUGAGAAAAUGUAGAAAAAUAUUAUAUCAUCAUCUUUGAGUUGUCUUUACAUUUUAAGAAAUGUUUUAAUCUCUAUUUUUGAUAUAUCUGGUAAGCCCACAUAUGACCGGGAAAACUCACCGUUUUGUAACAAAGCCAUGUAAACACGUGAAGCUUGUAAACAUUAAAUCUCAAGGUUCCAAAAGUC